rnacentral:lncRNA from 1 species
AAGGAAAAACAAGACCAAGUUCUUCAUUUUUCCUUCAUCAAAUCUUCAUCAAACCUCUUCCAAUUCACUCCAAAUUCGAACUACACUUAACUAAACAUAUAGAGAUCCCAUUGAGCUAAGAAAAGGAGCUGCUAUUCACGGUUUUUCUUGUGCUAAGAAAGGCCAAAAAUUCUGACUUUGUUCACCACACAAGUAGGUCACGAUCAACUACCGAAAUCUUGUUUUAUGGAGGUUAAAUUGCGCGUAUAAACUCUUGCAUGCUUGUGGGUGGUCUUGUUUAUGGUGGAUUUGUGUUGUGUGGGCUCUAUGAACUCCCACUUUUGAUGGAAGGACUGAUUUGAUGUUGUAUGAUGAAAUUAAUGGUGGUUUAGUGCUUAUAUUAGUGGAUUAAUGUUGUAUUGUUUGUAGAAAAUCAAAGGAGGUGCUUGGAGCAAAAGUGACCGUUUUACCCCUGCCUUGUCCGACCAUUUUGUGCACAAUUUUGAAGUUCUAAUGACUUGAUUAUGUUGUUUACAUGUUAUUGUGAGUGUGUACAAAAUUUCAUUGAAAAAUAACAUGAUUUGGUUGGUCAAAUGAGUUGAUUUCCAAAGUUAGCAAAACUGGAAAAUGAAUCCCGUAUUGCCCAAGCAGUCAUUUUGUAUCGGCUAUAACUCAUUGCUCCGAUGUCGAAAUCAAGUGCCGUUUGUAGCAUUGGAAAAUAGACAUUCCCAGCUUUCCAUUGGUACCAAUUUCAUGUUCUGGUUCUACUUGAGUGAGCCACACCAUUCGAUUGAAAAUCACUGUCCUGUUUCGUUUCUCUCCAGGAGACAGGACAGGACUUGUAUCUUGAUGCUCAAAAACGAGCUGUUUGUGGAUAGAAUUUGAAAAUGGUUUCUUCUGAUAAAAUUCAGCUUUAUAAGAGAGCUUUCCAACGCCAUCAACCACGUCCAAUUCCAAGUUGAAUUGAGUGAGUUGUGGCCAAAGUUUGAAACUGCUACAGUGAUAGAAUUUUCCACUUGGACAGAUUUGUAACUAACAAUGAUUUGGGACUUGUUGUUUUGGAAACUUUGAUGUCCAACAUCUACCAAACUUUAUAUCAGAUGUUCCUUGGACUUUGUUUCACAAAUAAACCAGAUUUGGAUUGGUUGCUUUGGAUAAAAUGUUUAAAAAGGAAAGAAGAGCUAGAAGACAGUUUUACCUUGGGGGAAAUUUCUUGAACUUUGAUGGUUUAGUUAACUACCUUCUCGUGUGAAUUUUCAAAUGAAAUUUGAUAGAAGAGUAAUCCUCAUAUGGAGGUUUAAUUGUGCAAAAAUUUGGUAAUAUUCUAAGACCAUUUUGAUAUGCAAAUGAUGUCACAAAAUUCGUUCAUCGAAUCUGGAAAACUUUUUGUUUUCUCUUAGCCAAACGGUCAAAUCUGAUUUGGGGAGUUUUAUUUCGAAAAUUUGGAUGUCAAUGGUCUUUAAAUUACUCAGUGGAUGUUUAUGAACUCUUGGCUUCAAUAAUGGAGAGAUUUGGAACUGAUUUCAUGGUACAAAAAGUUUGUAAACAAAAGAAAAGUGAGAAGGUAGUUUAGCCUUGAAACUCUUCAUAAACUUUGGUUGUUUUAAUGACUGCCUUACCGUGAGAGUUUUUGUAUGAAACUUGGUAGAAAUGUUGUUCACACAUGGAAGAUUUAGUGUACCAAGUUUGAUGUAUUUCCACUGCCAAUUCGAUGACCAAAUGAUACUUCGAAUCUAGUCUUCAAACCUGGAAAAUAGCCCAACAGUCUUAACUUUUUCAGCAACUUGGAGCUACUAUAUCUUGGUGCUCGAAACUCCGUUUCUCAAUCCGCUUGUUUUGUUAUACUCUUGGAUUGCAACACUAAUUUAUUUCCAAAUUUCAAAGGUUAGUUCAAAACAAGUGAAUUUUUCUGAAUUUCCAAAGUUGGCCAAAAACCAACUUAAAUCUGUCUUGGUAAUUCAAGUUACCAACUUUGAGCCAAAAUUUGAGUGCCUUUCACUUACAUGCAUGGAAAAGUGCCUUCUAAGAACUUUUAGUACUUUCAAAGGGGUUUCCAAUGGUACCAAGUUUUCCCAUUUUUGACAUGCAGAAUGUGAGAUACGAUUUUUCAAAGUAUCGUAUCAAACCUGAAAAUUUUCCGAAUUCCAAGGGAAGGGAGUUUUCAAAUACUCCUUAUUCCUUCGAUAUUACUCAAACAUUUUAUACUUGAUUUCUAAAAUGAAAUCUCGAUUGCUCAUGUACUGUAAGAAACUCCACUUGAACCUCGAUUUACGAGUAAUUGAGGUUCAUUUUCAUAAGAUUUCCUUAGAUCGCAGUAGCAUACAAUCUUCCUUGAUAAUUAGAGAUUCGUAGUGAUAUUGAGUGGUAGUUGAUUAUUGUUUGCUCAGGCACUCGAGGGAAUCUCCAAGAGGAACUCGGAGCUGACACCUAAACGCUUGUUGAGAAC